rnacentral:lncRNA from 1 species
ACUCGAUGGGAGCCACUAGAGGGAAUAAGAUGUUCUCCUGCUGUAUCCCGACUUUCUGAGGCUCUGACUCCAGGAAAGCCCGGCACGAGGGCCUUUUCCAUUGCUGCAGGCUUUUUGGCUCAGCACUCACUUUUGGCACCUCUGGCCAUUUGGCAGGAAGUACCCAAAGUGAUGGCCAGGCAGGGCCCUGAUGUCUGAUGAUCUGGCUGCCGAGCAUCAUUUGUGCAGAGCUCCAUGUGAGAGAUCAGUGAGGAGCUGGUUGAUGGGUUCAACUCCUCCAUCUUCCUAGACAAGGGUUGUCUGCUCGUGUUCUUGUUGCCGUGACAGCCCUUCUCGCACCCUGGAACCUCCAGGCAUUCGCCCCUUUGCUGGAUCUGGGAUCCUCAUAGCUCAGGUUCUCAAGACUGCCUUUAUUGUAAAAGAAAGAAAAUUAAGUGCCUUGCUUUGAAGUCUAAAGGACUCUCCUAGGGUGGGUGUUGUAGUCCAUUUUGUGCUGCUGCAACAAAACACCAUAGACUGGGUAAUUUAUAUUGUACAGAAAUUUAUUUCUCACAGUUUUGGAGGCUGGGAAGUCCACAGUCAAGAUGCUGGCAUCUGGUGAGGGCCUUCUUGCUGCAUCAUCCCAUGGCGGAAGGCUUCACAGGGCAGAAGGGCAAAGAGAGAGUGAGAGACAGCAAGAGGGGGCAGACCCACCUCCACGAUACUCACAUUAAUCUACCCAUGGUGGUAGAGCUCUCAUGACCUAAACACCUCUUAAAGGUCCCAUCUCCCAAUAUGGUCACAAUGGCAACUACACUUCAACAUGAGUUUUAGAGAAGACAAACAUGCACACCAUAGCAGUGGAUCCACACUGUAAACUGGUCUCUCAACUUGGUGGGGGCAGUGGGGUGGGGAAUGAGGUUCCCCCAGAUCCUCUCCCUCCAUGCCAGAAGAAGACUAAGCUUCAGGUAGCUUAGGGGGAAGGUGAUGCGGCCCUAGCUUUGGGCAGUUCUUAGUUCUGUCUUGUGUGACCUUGAGCAGCCAUUUGACAUCCCUAAGCCUCUGUUUUCCAUCUCAACAAUGGGGAUUUUUUUAGGACGCACUAGAGUGAUGCUCUUCAUACAAGCUCUUAAUAGGGGAAUGCUAACCUCUCUUGCUGUGGGCACUCACAUCCCUCUUCACACACAAGUCCCCAAGGAGUUGGGGCUUCCUGGUCUGAGCUCUAGCUCACGAUUCUCCUGGUGGUUUUUGGUGCUGCCUCUGACUCUGUGUCCUUCCUUGUCCCACUCAGUAUAAAAAUGAGUUAACCCUGCACCUGGGCGAGAUCUGCACAAUGUGGACCCUCCAGGUGGGCACUCAGGAGCAUAUGGUGGCAUCCCUGGACCAGGCUUCCAGAGCAGACACAUACCCUACAGCACCACCUUCCUGGGAAACCACUGGUUCUUCGUCUCUACCCCACAGUUCCUGGACUGGGUAUUCAAUAGGUGGGAGCCUGUCCCUUCGACAGCACAGUGGGGACUCUGCCACCAGCUAGCUGUGUGUCUCAGGAAUUUUGCUGCACCUCUCUUAGCCUCAAUUUGCUCCUCUGAGAAGAAAGGUGAUACACAUGCAUCCUGCCAUAUUCUGACAGAGAUGAUGGACCUCAGGAUCAACUAAAAAUGUCAGUGGACUUCAGGUCUAGAAGGACAGGCUCCUGUUUCCCCAGAACAGUUGGGGGCAUAUGGGAGUCUGUGGCUGGGGAGGGGCUGGCAGAACCCUGGAUCUCAUACAUCUUAGGAUUCCCAUGAGAGGGCUGAGGUCUGGGGGCUUCCUCUGCAGGAGGAAAUUAGUUAGUGAGAGUUAUGGAUAGGAUCCAAGUCCCCUGGGAAGUGAAAGGGAGGCUGGGGCUCAGAGCCAUCCCCACCACAGUCCCAUCCCAGCUCUGCCCGCCUCCUUCCACAUCCACCCCUCCAGACCCAACCUCUAGGGGACCUAGAACAGGAGCUGUAGUGAGCAACCCGCUCACACUUCUACCUCAAACCUCAUUCCUGGUGCAGGUAGCCCUUCAGAGCAAGAGUCACUGGCAAGACCCAGCCCAUGUAGGUUCUAUGCCUGCCCUGCCUGAAGACCAGGGCUGUCUCUGCCAGGACAGUCACAGAGGGGUUGGGUGGGGCCGUCUCUGGACAGGCAGGGCAGGCACAGGGGCCCACAUCCAAACAAGGUGCCCUAGAAGAGCAAUGUGGAAGGAAAGGCCAGGUAUGUGACUCUGCUGCCCCCCACCCCCACCCCCUAACACUAUCUCUUCUAUCCUGGGCACCUGGCCAGAAAAGUACCCUGAGGGCACUCCGGGGAAGGAGCCUGCUCCAGUGACAGCCCAAGAUAGAAUCAGUCCCAGAGCACUCCUGCCCCUAGCCUGGGACCAUACAGAACUGGCCCAGUGAGGAGGUCCCCAGCCUCCUGGGGGAUUCUUUCCUAUGCUGGUGGCAGAGCAAUUGACUCUGAUGGAUGCAAUGAGCGCUGGGCUCUCAGGGCAGGGUUGGGACAGCCUCCCCUCUGGGACCUUUCCCUGAGCCUCAGUCGAAUGAUGCGGGCCCAAUCCCAUCUCCACCUCUUACCAACCAUAUGGCCUGGACUAGAUUCUUAACCUCCAGACCUUCACUGUCCACAUGUACAGGGCAGAGAUGGGACAUAACAGCACCUGCCACACACAGUGACUGUGCAGAAUGAGAGGAGAGAGGGAAGGCAGGUCAGGGCCUGGUCCCUUUGUAGGUGGAGGGUGCUCACUGAGGAGCAGCCAGGUGCAUGGGUUGCCCACUUGUGCUCAGGAAACCUCACCCACCUCAGCCCUUAUUAGGCACCUAAUGUGGAUUCUAAGACAGACACUGAAACAAAGCUGCCCCUGGGGAAGACGACAUGUAUCCAAAUGGGGAGACAGACUAGAUGGCUGAUCAAGAAGGAGACAGAUGCCAUCUGGGGAGGGACAGGCAUAAGCCACUUUCUGGUGCUUGGAGUUAGUGAGGAAGGGCUGAGUGAAAAUGCCACUCUCCUGUGCCUACCAAUAUUGGGUCCUGGGUCAUCAUGUGCUGGGUGCCCUCAGUGAACCACCAUGUGAUGCAGAGACCAGAGAGUGAAGGCCCGGGCCGGCGCAGGGUGGUGCAACUUUGAAUCGAGGUGGCCAAGGUUUGCUGUGGGAGGCCCAGGGAGCUCCCGUCUGUGUCCCCUUCCAAAUCUCAUCUUGAAUUCCCACGUGUUGUGGGAGGGACCCAGUGGGAGGUAACUGAAUCAUGGGGGCAGGUCUUUCUGUGCUGUUCUCGUGACAGUAAGUCUCACGAGAUCUGAUGGUUAUUAUAAGGGGGAGCUUUUCCUGCACAAGCUCUUUUUGCCUGCUGCCAUCCAUGUAAGAUGUGACUUGCUUCUCGUCUUCCACCAUGAUUGUGAGGCUUCCCCAGCCACCAACCAUGUGGAACUGUAAGUUUAAUUAAACCUCUUUCUUUUGUAAA